GGGGGUGACUGGUUUCGACAGGGUGGGCCUGAGAUGGGCAGCAGGUCGUGGUCUCCUCGCCACGUUAAACAGGGGUACCGUCAAAUUGAAUUGACGAGAACAACUCUUUCGAGCCUCAGCUGGCUCUCGCUGCUUAGUCUUAACUAACCAGCGCGUCAAACCGGGGAUCGCUCCCGUUCCCGGGGCGGCGUCAUUCUAGGGAGAUGCGCGCGCGGACGUGGCCGGUAUGCCGCGCGCAAAGACCGAACCGGCUGGGACGCCAAGCGCGGGUGACCAGGUGCGCGGCGUCCGAGACCCAAUUGGCCACUGAGCCUGGAGACACCUGUCAGGGGUUCGCUUUGGACCGGAGUUCGAUUCUCCGCACCUCCACCA
rnacentral:tmRNA from 1 species